CCCGCUGAACUUAAGCAUAUUAAUAAGCGGAGGAAAAGAAACUAACAAGGAUUCCCCUAGUAACGGCGAGUGAAGCGGGAAGAGCUCAAGCUUAAAAUCUCCGUGCAAGUUUUGCGCGGCGAAUUGUAGUCUAUAGAGGCGUGAUCAGUGUGGGCGCUUGGGGCAAGUUCCUUGGAAGAGGACAGCAUGGAGGGUGAUACUCCCGUUCAUCCCUGAGUUGCUCGUGCGUACGAUCCGUUUUCUUUGAGUCGCGUUGUUUGGGAAUGCAGCGCAAAGUAGGUGGUAAAUUCCAUCUAAAGCUAAAUAUUGGUGCGAGACCGAUAGCGAACAAGUACCGUGAGGGAAAGAUGAAAAGAACUUUGAAAAGAGAGUUAAAGAGUACCUGAAACUGCUGAAAGGGAACCGAAUCGUUUCCAGUGUCUAUAAUCCG
rnacentral:ncRNA from 1 species